rnacentral:rRNA from 1 species
AGAGUUUGAUCCUGGCUCAGGACGAACGCUGGCGGCGUGCUUAACACAUGCAAGUCGAGGGCACUUCGGGGCAACUCGAGGUGACCGGCGAACGGGUGCGUAACACGUGAGCGACCUGCCCUGGUGUGGGGGAUAGCCGGCCCAACGGCCGGGUAACACCGCAUACGCUUCUCGGGUUUCAUGGCCUGGGAAGGAAAGUCUUCGGAUGCACCAGGAGGGGCUCGCGGCCUAUCAGCUAGUUGGUGAGGUAACGGCUCACCAAGGCGAUGACGGGUAGCUGGUCUGAGAGGAUGGCCAGCCACAUUGGGACUGAGAAACGGCCCAGACUCCUACGGGAGGCAGCAGUGGGGAAUCUUGCGCAAUGGUCGAGAGACUGACGCAGCGACGCCGCGGGGCGGGAGGACGCCCUUCGGGGGUGGUAAACCGGCUGGUUAGCCGGGGACGAAACACGGAUUCAUUCCGUUUGGACGGGUACCGGGGGGGAGGGAAGCAACCGGGCUAACUUCUGUUGGCCCGCCAGCCCGCCGGGUAAUUACCAGAAGGGUUGCGCAAGCGUUGGUCCGGGAAUUCACCUGGGGGCGGUAAAAGGGGCGCCGUAAGGCGCAUAUUCAUGCGUGGCAGGUAAGCUCGGAGCUUCAACUCUCUAGUCUCGCCGUGCGUACUCGGUUGUCUGGAGAUCUGUAGAGUGUCGAUCGACUUCCCGGGUGUAGCGGUGGACUGCCGUAGAAGAUCUCGGAGAACCACCCGUGGGCGGAAAGCGUCGACUUGUCCAGUACUGACGCUGAUCGCGCGACAGCGUGGGGAGCAAACCCAGGAUUAGAUACCCCUGGUUAGUUCACCCCCGUAAACGAAUGGGCACUAGAUCCUCUUGGGAGCGGACCCCUGAGGGGUCGGGCGCUAACCGCAUUAAGUGCCCCCCGCCCUGGGGAUACGCCCGCCAAGGCUUGAAACUCAAAGGGAAAUUGACGGGGGGCCCCGCCCAACGCGGUUGGAGCAAUUGUGGUUUAAUUCGACGGCAAACGGCGAGAGACCCUUACCUGGGCUUUGACCGUGCACGGGGGACCUUCUAGGGAAACCUGGGGGGGCCUCUUCGGAGCCCCGUGCAACAGGUGCUGCAUGGCCUGUCGUCCAGCUCGUGUCCGUGAGAUGUUGGGUUAAGUCCCGCCAACGAAGCGCAACCCCUUGGGACUAGUUGCCAGCGAGUCAUGUCGGGGACUCUAGUCCGACUGCCGGUGCCAAACCGGAGGAAGGUGGGGACGACGUCAAGUCAUCAUGGUCCUUACGUCCAGGGCUACACACGUGCUACAAUGGGCGGGACAGAGGGCAGCGGUGCCGAAAGGCCGAGCCAAUCCCAGAAACCCGUCCUCAGUUCGGAUUGUCGUCUGCAACUCGACGGCAUGAAGCUGGAAUCGCUAGUAAUCGCGGAUCAGCGAUGCCGCGGUGAAUACGUUCCCGGGCCUUGUACACACCGCCCGUCACGCCAUGGAAGCUGUGAGUGCCCGAAGUCGGUGCCGCAACCCGCAAGGGGGCAAGCCGCCGAAGGCAAGCGCAGUGACUGGGGCGAAGUCGUAACAAGGUAACC